rnacentral:rRNA from 1 species
GGACUACCGGGGUAUCUAAUCCUGUUUGCUACCCACGCUUUCGUGCCUCAGUGUCAGUAUGGGUCCAGGAGGCCGCCUUCGCCACCGGUGUUCCUUCCGAAAUCUACGCAUUUCACCGCUACGCCGGAAAUUCCACCUCCCUCUACCCUACUCAAGUCAACCAGUAUGAAAUGACCUCCCCAGGUUAAGCCCGGGACUUUCACACCUCACUUAGUCAACCACCUACGCACCCUUUACGCCCAGUAAUUCCGAUUAACGCUUGCACCCUCUGUAUUACCGCGGCUGCUGGCAC